rnacentral:lncRNA from 1 species
CUAAAAAUUGAUCACAUAGCAAAAAUGGGCAAAAUGUAAGAAUCAGCAUGCUUUUAAUUCAUGUGUUGGCAUUUUAAUUGAUUACAACAUACAGGAUGUUGAACUGAAAUAACUGAAAGAAAUUUACAGCACCACAAAAUGUCGAUCAUGUUAUUUUCAUAUAACUUAAUAUAAGGCAGCUUCUUGGAAGGUCAUGGGUUAAGGUUAGAAAUUCAAAUUUGUAUUACAGUUCUUCUUUUGGUUUUCCUCAGUUCAAAUUCAGAUUGAAUUGAAAUGAAUUUUCAACUCAGUUCUGAAUGGUGUAAAACCCUGACACAUACCACAUCUCAGUGAUGAAUUUAUGAAGAAUGGGCUGCAGUAUUUCUAUUAAUUACUAACAGUUCAGUUCUCUUCACAGCUAUAAUUUAAUUGAUAUAUAAAUAUAUUUAAUAUAUAAACAUUUUUCUUAAAUAUAUACAUGUGUGUGUCUAUUUUGUGUAAAUAAAUGUAAUGUGUUACAAGGGUGCCGUAAAAUGUUACCUAAAAUCCUGUACCACUUAUGUCAAGAUUAAGACCCCAAGAGUAAGACUCCAACUCAGUUUGAAAUCGGCAUUCAUAUGUUAUUAUGUUUUCUGCAGCCCUUUACUGUACAUUCCUUUAACUGGACAGUACCAACUCAUCAAUAGAGGCUAAAGUGAAUGGUAGCACAUAUGUGAAAGCUCAGAACAGCACUGGAAGUGUUAAAAAUGGCACUGUAAAUCAGAACAGCUUGACUCUGCAAGGCCUGUAUCCCGGAGGAAGCUACAAUGUUUCACUGUUUUAUUACUUGGAGUCAGAGCUGCUGCCACAGUCACACACCACCUGACUAUUAGGUGAGUUUACAUGCUUGUUUGGAUUGUGCCAGUAAUCAGCUGAUAUUCCAUUACAUUUUUUGUCCUUCUUUUUCUCUUUCAAACUAGAUCCAUAUAGUGUAUCUCAUCUCCGCUGUGAAUAUCAUUCUGGAGGGUAUGGUCUGGCUGUAAUUUGGGAUACUCCAUAUGGAGUUGUGGAUAGGGUGCAGGUGGAUGUAGAUAGAAAAAGUUUCAACAAAUCAUAUAGUUCAGAAAAACAAAUAAGACUGGAGAUAAAUGGCCUGCAAGCUGCCAAGAAGUACACUGUGACAGCAACAUCAUUUUCUGGAUCCAGGAGGAGUCAAACAGUAUCAGUCAACUGCGAAACAGAUCCAGCAGGUGUUAUAGCAGGAGUUCUUGUGUUUUUUCCUCUUGGUCAUCAUUAUUUGUGUUUGCUGUAUUUGCAUGGCGCCGCUAUGGUUCUGCAAAGCGCAAUAAGUAUGAUUGAUUGAUUGUCUGGGAUUAUGGGUUUAUUUCAUAAUAUAUUGCAAUAAAAGCUGUAUUGGAUUUAUCUCUAAUGUCUUUUCUCAUCUUUAGAAUGACCAACCCACUUGUGGAGCCAAAAGUGCCU